GUCUCUUCUCUGCCUCUGGGCUAAGAUCAGGUGAAAUUUCUGUUCUUAUCAGCAUCAUUUCUGAUACGUCCCGUAUAUUGGGACAAAGUAUUCAGUGGACUUGUUGACGGGAGCCAAAAUAGGGACUCUUUUUUUAGCCUGCAUCUUACAGUCAGGCCUAUAAUUCUCUGAACUUCUAUUGGAUAAAGCCU